CAUUAAAAUGUAAAAUAUUAAACAAUAUGGCUGAACCACCGAAUCUCACAACCCGAGAAGUGCAGCAGGUAUUUGCAGAGAUUCUCAGCCAUGGCGAGGACAUCACCUGGGAUCUAUUGCUGCAGAAUCAACGAGACAUUCUGAAAAGGAAAGUUCGAGAAAUAUUUAAUCAGAGACAUAAAUAAUUCUGGACAACGUUUGGACUCUACGUAAAUACGUCAACGGCCAGUCCCUUUCUGCGUUGUUCUUUGCGGUUAUUGUGAAUGGAGUGACCGACUUGAAGGAGGCAGAGAAUAGCAGAUCCUGGUCGAUCCACCCAGUUUUCCGCUGCCGUCGCUGCGUUGCCGACACGGAUGGAGGGAUGAGCAGCAGCCCAGACUGUUGCGUGAUGUAUGUGGAUCAAAGCGGGCUCUUUGAGGACUGGGAUACAUACUUAAAGCGCACAGCUCUUCCCCCAGGGGUUAUGGUAACCUGGGAUCGAGGAGUCUACAAGCUGAUCGAUGGGCAGGUUGAGCUAAAAACUUAUUUGAUAACGGAGAAAAUGUACACACGCAAUGCGUGCUUCAUAACGUCUGAAGGUCUGAAGGCAGCCUUGGAAUUUCCUGGAGUGCAUCGGCUUUACUCGGAAUCAAGCUCUAGAACAUUUAAGAGCGAGCGACAAAGUGCUAUACCUGCUUUUGGUAGGCAUUGUAUGAUACACUUAAUCUCUGGUAUAUGUAUGAGAAACGUUCUAUUUGUGCUCAAUAACUUGUGUCAAUAACUUUC